GCGCAAGGGGGUUUUGUUGGUUCCUGCCAUUUGGCAGGCGAAGAGGGAAUGUGACAGUUGGGCCAUCAAGGUCCGGCCAAGCACAGCCGCCCCCGCGACCGUGACCGGAGAGGUCUCCGAUGCCACUGAGGAAACUCGGGAAGGCAGGAUGACCGUCAAGGCCCCAAGCCUUGGCAUCCGCAAGCCGGGAGACCUGCCAACAAAAGAAACGCAAC
rnacentral:ncRNA from 2 species